rnacentral:rRNA from 1 species
AUUGAACGCUGGCGGCAGGCCUAACACAUGCAAGUCGAGCGAGCGGCGGACGGGUGCGUAAUGUAUGGGGACUGCCCGAUAGAGGGGGCUAACUACUGGAAACGGUGGCUAAUACCGCAUACUAUCGGAUAACCCAUAUGGGAUUAGCUAGUAGGUGGGGUAAAGGCUCACCUAGGCGACGAUCUCUAGCUGGUCUGAGAGGAUGAUUAGCCACACCGGGACGUAGACACGGCCCAGAGUCCUACGGAGGCAGCAGUAGGGAUAAUUGCACAAUGGGCUCAAGCCUGAUGCAGCCAUGCCGCGUGAAUGAAGAAGGCCUUAGGGUUGUAAAGUACUUUCAGCGGGGAGGCGUUACCCGCAGAAGAAACACCGGCUAACGCCGUGCCAGCCGCCGCGGUAAUAC